AGGACGAACGCUGGCGGCGUACUUAACACAUGCAAGUCGAGCGGAAAGGCCCUUCGGGGUACUCGAGCGGCGAACGGGUGAGUAACACGUGAGCAAUCUGCCCUUAGCUUCGGGAUAGCUCCGGGAAACCGGAAUUAAUACCGGAUAUGACUAUGGCUGACAUCAGCCACGGUGGAAAGUUUUUCGGCUAGGGAUGAGCUCGCGGCCUAUCAGCUAGUUGGUGGGGUAACGGCCUACCAAGGCGACGACGGGUA
rnacentral:rRNA from 1 species